rnacentral:piRNA from 1 species
UAAACUUGCUGUAUAUGCAUUUAUGGUCAU